CAGUCGCCGCGGUAACACGUAGGUGGCAAGCGUUGUCCGGAAUUAUUGGGCGUAAAGGGCUCGCAGGCGGUUUCUUAAGUCUGAUGUGAAAGCCCACAGCUCAACCGUGGAGGGUCAUUGGAAACUGUUAAACUUGAGUGCAGGAGAGAAAAGUGGAAUUCCUAGUGUAGCGGUGAAGUGCGUAGAGAUUAGGAGGAACACCAGUGGCGAAGGCGGCUUUUUGGCCUGUAACUGACACUGAGGCGCGAAAGCGUGGGGAGCAAACAGGAUUAGAUACCCCAGUAGUCCCUGUCUCUUAUAC
rnacentral:rRNA from 1 species